rnacentral:lncRNA from 1 species
AUUUAAUAUGACCAAGUAUCUUCAUUGAAAUAAACAGAAAUAUAACCUGUAAAUUUUUUCUUUGCUACUACAUUAAAAAUGAACUAUCAGUACAUACAUAGUAUUUUAUAGCAUGUUAUUUUCUUAAUUUCUUAUGUUGCAUUUUAUAUUUGAGUCCAUGACAGAAAAUGAAUUGUGAAACAAUUCAGAGAUUAAGGAAAAGUCUGCAAAAAUAAGGUCAAACAACUGUCAGCAACAGUUCAACUCUGACUGACUUCCGACAAUUCACUCUAGCUCCUGCUGCUGCCAGUCCAUAUCCACCCAUCAACAGCAGUCAGUCAGAGUUUAAAGUUAAAGACGGGUUCUCUUUUCAUCCUUACAGAAUGACUCUCUAACAAAUGACUGAAGUCUCUUUUCAUAAAACUUCCUAGUUGAUAAAUAACCAGCGUCUCCCCUCUGGUUUCCACAACCAAAUAUCCAACCAGCUAAGAUCAGAAAUACUCUGUGAGGGGCCGGGGGAAUCCAUUUGUAUAUAGCAAGCAUGUUCGGGGUGUUUCUAUCCUGUGAGCCAUACUGUAUAACCACAAUGUACGUUUUUCUGGGUAUUGUAAAUAAGCUGAGAGGAUUUAAAGUGUACCUGAGGAUUAAUCUAGGGUAUGUUCAAAUACUAUUCCACUUUUUCAGCCAUUUUUAUCUCUGGGUCCUGGGCCAGUUCCACACUAGUACCGAGAGUGGCUAUAUUAGCAAUUAUUACUAAUGAUUGCUAGAGGAAUGCCUUCAGCACCCUCCCCUCAAACCAGGGUGUUUCUUAUGGCUACCUCUGCUGUCUGACUGGAAACACAGCUGGGAUUGCAAUGAUCACAUGUAAAUUUAAUGAAGUGAUACAGUUCUUAUUUUUAAAUAUCUGAAUGCUUGAAUUCAGUAAACUUAAAGAGGUAUAAGAUGUGUGAUGUUUGGAUUAUAAUCAAUUCAUUUAUAAGGUAUUUAUGGAUUAACCCAUCUAAUUGUUUAGAUUGUAGAGAAGAACCAGAACUUUUUCAGCUUUUAAGAAAUAAUUGUAAAAGGCUGCUCUUAUUAAUAUUUAUCUGAGUUUUAUAUUAAUUUGUUUAUUUUGUAUUAUCUAUGUGUAUGAUUUGGAAA